rnacentral:tRNA from 1 species
GCCCUCGUAGCUCAAUGGAUAGAGCGUCCGAAUGCUAAUUGGAGGGGUGCAGGUUCGAAUCCUGCCGAGGGCG